rnacentral:ribozyme from 13 species
AUGCGAAAGAAGUUAGAAAGAAACGAAGAUUUCUUCACAAAUUUUUCUGUUAUUGCAGCCCCUGCUUCUUCUAAUUCUUCACCAUCUUCUUCUUUUCCUUCUCCAAAUCCCUUUGAU